CGAUUUGGAGGUUGUGCCCUUGAGGCGUGGCUUCCGGAGCUAACGCGUUAAAUCGACCGCCUGGGGAGUACGGCCGCAAGGUUAAAACUCAAAUGAAUUGACGGGGGCCCGCACAAGCGGUGGAGCAUGUGGUUUAAUUCGAUGCAACGCGAAGAACCUUACCUGGUCUUGACAUCCACAGAACUUUCCAGAGAUGGAUUGGUGCCUUCGGGAACUGUGAGACAGGUGCUGCAUGGCUGUCGUCAGCUCGUGUUGUGAAAUGUUGGGUUAAGUCCCGCAACGAGCGCAACCCUUAUCCUUUGUUGCCAGCGGUYMGGCCGGGAACUCAAAGGAGACUGCCAGUGAUAAACUGGAGGAAGGUGGGGAUGACGUCAAGUCAUCAUGGCCCUUACGACCAGGGCUACACACGUGCUACAAUGGCAUAUACAAAGAGAAGCGACCUCGCGAGAGCAAGCGGACCUCAUAAAGUAUGUCGUAGUCCGGAUUGGAGUCUGCAACUCGACUCCAUGAAGUCGGAAUCGCUAGUAA
rnacentral:rRNA from 1 species